ensembl:lncRNA
AUCGGACACAGACAGUAGUGAUGAAUCGGACAGACAGUAUAGUAAUGAAUCGGACACAGACAGUAGUAAUGAAUCGGACACAGACAGUAGUGAUGAAUCAGACACAGACAGUAGUGAUGAAUCGGACAGACAGUAGUAAUGAAUCGGACACAGACAGUAGUAAUGAAUCAGACAGACGAGUCGCGAGGACACAAACAUUAUUAAGAUUUAGAACUUCGACACUACACAGUGUUAUUGUAUACUAAGUCUAUAAAACGGGUCAAUUAAAAGUUUAGAAUGUAAAAGUUAGGCAUGAGUAAGUAAGUUUACUGGGAUUUAACCUUAACAUUUGAAUAAGUCACGUUUUUAAAAACAUAUUGCAGAAUAAUAACUAGCUAAUACCUGCUAAGCUAACAUGUAAACAACUCGGUUCAUCCUACCUCGGUUCCGACAGGCUCCGCCUCCUAAGAGAUGAUUAGCCAAUAGGAUCGCGUCUGCUUUAAC